UGCCUUUGUGACUUCAGCACCUGAUACUCUGUGACCCGGUCUCUUUACUCCGUGACCCAGCCACAUAGCCUUCCCCGAGGCAAUCGUUUUAACUGCUGUCCAGCUGCAGGUCGCGUUUACAAAAGACUGCUCUGCUUUUUUUGCCACCUUUCUGGACGUACAAGGAUCAUCUGGUCCACACCAAGAACAGUGACUACAACAGAAACAACGUGAGCAUCCACACUGAUGAGUGAUUGUGUUCUGCAAACAGACAAAUUUGGAUUUAACUGAUGGUUUGGUGAAUCACCCGGUUCUUGGAACAAGCGUACUAUCAACGAGUCUAUAGAGGACCCAGACACGAUGAGACCAGGAUUAAACAACCGCCUCCAUCUGUUUCCUACAGUGAGCUCCUCCACUCUUUCAUCAUCUUUAAGCAAUUACAUGCUGUAUUUCUUGUGCUCGGCCGUCAUGCCAAAGCCAGCUCAAACUCAUCGGGACAAAGACAUGCAGGGGGAUUGACAAUCUCACCAACAUCCUGUGUGAUCCCAUUAUCAGGACAUUCCUCCGUCCGGCUCUGGACACUCCUCCCCCGUCGAGGGGCCAAGUAGGGGACAACUUCUCUUUGCUUUCUUUAGUUUCCUAACCCAUUAAACCCCUCGGUCACCGUAUCUGCUCGUUAAUUGGAUUAAAUAAAAGAAACUCAAGCUAAACAAUUUCACAUUUGCUGAGAGCUCAAUUGUUCUUUUUUAGUCCCAUUUGCUCUCCUCACUUCGCUGUCCUCUGCUCUUUUUUCCUCUCGUGGGGCCCAUUGUGUAAGGCUAUAAAAAAAAUAAAAAAAAUAGCAGUGCA